UUCCCAAUUGCAAUUUUCUACAGACCAAAAUACAGUACCUGCAAUUCAUGGCCAGAACAAGGGCUGUCAUUACUAUCAUAUGCGCUGCAGCAUUUUUAUUAAAAUUUUCGUUCUGGUUCACGUUAGUAAGGCCAUCUUCAUUCUGCCUCAUACAAAUGCCAUUCCUAUUGAUAAUCGGUGCAAGUAUGUUAUAUACGGGCCAUGGAAAUGAACGGCUUGAAUACAAACAGUUAACGAACCUCCGUUAUAUCAGAGAAAGAACAGUAUUGCUUCUAAUUGUAUCUUACGCUUUACUCUAUUUGUGGAUGGCUUAUUCACCUCUCAUAGGAAGUCACGUUUCGGCUGCUAAAAUGCAAACUUACGAAAACAAUAUGGUUCAGAUGAUGCUCUUCAUACUCGGCCAUGAAUGAUAUUGGUCGCUGAAGCUCGAUCCCAAAGACAGGUGCCCUUGUUCGAAGUUGACAUUUAAUGCAGCGCAUAAACAAACAAGGGGCGACACGGUGACAGUCACAACCCGGUUAAAUCAACUAACGACUCAGCGAAUGAAAUGAAGUAGUUUCAAUGUUUCACGGAGGGCAAACCUAUCAGCCAGUUUUACUAUCGGAUCUACUACUUCAUUCGAUCACAAUUCACAUCACCAUAAUGCAUCAAUGGCAUGUAUGUUCAAACUAAUCAAAUAGAGGAUGUCGCAUCAACCGCUCCAGGAAUACUUUACGUAAAUAAAUUGGCAGAUCUGUUGAUUGUAUAAGCGAUAAGAUUGCCGUUUGUAUACAAGGUCAAGGUUCAAAUAGAUAAAUUAAAGAAAAAA